AUACUUAACAUGCAGGGGAUAAGUCAUGAUCACAAAGGUGGUUAACUUAAAGCAAGGCUUAUCCAUUGCACACCGGAUGUACUGACCCCUGAGAUUUCCCCAAAGCUGGGAAACUUGAGUACAUAAUUUGUGGUAGUGGGGAACUGUGUUGACACUCUACUCUA